rnacentral:rRNA from 1 species
CCUACGGGGAGCUGCAGUGGGGAAUAUUGGACAAUGGGCGAAAGCCUGAUCCAGCCAUGCCGCGUGUGUGAAGAAGGCCUUCGGGUUGUAAAGCACUUUCAGUGGGGAAGAAAGCCUUGGGGCUAAUACCCUCGAGGAAGGACAUCACCCACAGAAGAAGCACCGGCUAACUCCGUGCCAGCAGCCGCGGUAAUACGGAGGGUGCGAGCGUUAAUCGGAAUUACUGGGCGUAAAGCGCGCGUAGGCGGUCUGAUAAGCCGGUUGUGAAAGCCCCGGGCUCAACCUGGGAACGGCAUCCGGAACGGUCAGGCUAGAGUGCAGGAGAGGAAGGUAGAAUUCCCGGUGUAGCGGUGAAAUGCGUAGAGAUCGGGAGGAAUACCAGUGGCGAAGGCGGCCUUCUGGACUGACACUGACGCUGAGGUGCGAAAGCGUGGGUAGCAAACAGGAUUAGAUACCCGUGUAGUC